UGGGUUUUCGCAGGCUUCGGCCUGUCGAGAUAGAACCCUUGCCUUUUUGAGUACCUUUUCGUUUCCUCGGCAGGCUCGCCUGCCAAUGGGGACCCCAAAAAACACUUUGCAGUACCUGUAAACAGUCUGAACAAACUUUAAAAAUUAAAACUUUCAACAACGGAUCUCUUGGUUCUGGCAUCGAUGAAGAACGCAGCGAAAUGCGAUAAGUAGUGUGAAUUGCAGAAUUCAGUGAAUCAUCGAAUCUUUGAACGCACAUUGCGCCCUUUGGUAUUCCUUAGGGCAUGCCUGUUCUAGCGUCAUUUAAACCUUCAAGCUCAGCUUGGUGUUGGGUGACUGUCCGCUUGCGGACUCGCCUCAAAAUGAUUGGCGGCCGGUACUUUUGGCUUCUAGCGCACCAAAAACGCGAACUCGAGGCCUGUGUGCUGGCUCCCAGAAGCUAUCUUCACAAUUUUGACCUCGGAUCAGGUAGGGAUACCCGCUGAACUUAAGCAUAUCAAUAAGCGGAGGAAGGAUCAUUAUUGUAUGGCUUCGCCCUGUCAGAUAUAACCUUUGCCUUUUUGAGUACCUUUUACUUUCCCUGCAGGCUCACCGCCAAUGGGGGACCCAAAAACAUUUGAUUUACUGUUAAAAAUUUGA
rnacentral:rRNA from 1 species